rnacentral:misc_RNA from 1 species
GCAUCUUGGGGGUCGCUUUGAUUGGUUUGUUUCCGGUGGUUGGCUCUCUGCUUGCGCAACAACUUCCACCUGGCAAACCUCUUCAGUUGCUUGUCAAGGUUUUAUUGCCUUGGCUAUGUUGUGGUUUCCUGUGUUGCCUACCUAUGUGACGGUAUCGUUUGGACUCAUCAAUUCCCAUUUCAUCUUUCGUCACGCUUGUGGCGUGGGAUGAACCUUGAAACGAUCUCUUUGGUCCACCUUGUUGACGCAUAACGUUGAUGUUGUGGCCCAUUGAGCAUUGUUGGUUUCUUGGAUACGGAACAUGAUGUGGGCAUGGGGUCUUUACAUGAUCCUUGUUUUGUCCAAGUUGAGCGUUAUUGUUUCUCUAAGAUGACUGCCAGCCCGAAUUGGCUCGUACCACCGGGUGAGAUAUGUUGUCGAAGAGAGAUGCUAGCGUUCUUGCUUCUCAAAAACGACCACCUAUCCUGUUGGCUUGUACCAGCGGGUAGGUGAUGUCGAAUAGGGAUGCUACCUGGUUGAUCCUGCCAGUAGUCAUAUGCUUGUCUCAA